CACUCGAUCGUGCAUCUUCGUUUUUUUUUUGUUUAUUGUUAAUAAAUAUGGCGGUGUUGUUAAAAGGAAAGACCAUAAACAAGGCAACGGUAUUUAUUUGUAAUUGUUUUUAGAGGAGUGUCCGUGAAUGUUUAUUUUAGACAACUCAUGAUAACUAAUAGUGAACAUGCCGAGGGAAGUGGAAUAUGAUUCACUGGCAAUGUUUAGGACCGUUUUUUUUUCUAUAGUUUCUUUACUUCCCUUGGGGAUGAGCAUAUCGCUAGUUGCCACAGAUUGUAGUCAUGCUGGAGACAUGAUAAUUAUUGGAAUUUACUUUUAUAUGUUAACAGAAAGAAAUAGCUUCGGUAAAUCUGUAUUGUACGGAUUAGCGCCAAAAAAAAUCGUACAAAUAUGAAAUAACUUUCAUUAUAUGCUCUUUUACGUCCUCUUUUCAAAACCGCUUGCGGAGAUUAAAAAUUCCAAUUACUUUUGGAGAUAUCGCCGUUCUUAUUUUGCAAUACAAGCCCUAUGUAAUUAUUCAACAGACGCCAUUUUAUAUUUUGCCGUGUGUACGUGAAUGCCUAAAUAACAGAAAUUUUCCAUUAGGUAAGGUUAGUUACAUGAUAAAUACUUCAAAAUAAACGGAAAUUAAAAAUAAUAUUAAUUAAUUUUACUUGUAUAGUUUUAAGUAUUUAUAAUGUAACUGACCUGACCUAACAAAACGGGACAAAGGUAGAUUAGGUCAGGUCAGCUACAGUAUAAAUACUUUGAAACUGAACGGACAUUAAAAAUAAUAAAAUUAAUUUUAAUGGUUGUUUACUUUUAAAGUAUUUAUAAUGUAGCUGACCUGACCUAACAAACCGGGAAAAAGGAUGAACAGUAGGAACUCACGUAAUUUUCCUUUUUACGUGAUGUAGUCGUUCAACUACGUCGCGAAAAAAAAAAAAAAAAAAAAUCAUACUUGUAAACAAGCAACAAUGGUGAAACGCGGGAAGCCUACGAUUCACUCAUCCUUCUGGACAUACCCGAAUUCUCACGUUGGCAAGCCUUCUUUCAACAGACGAGAGGCGAACGCCCGAUCGUGCAUCUUCGGGUUUUUUUUUUUUUUUGUUUAUUGUAAAUAAAUAUGCAACUCAUGAAAACUAAUGGUCAAUUAGGUUAUGUUAGCUACAUUAUAAAUACUUCAAAACAUUGUGGAUGGUUGAUUUGGUUAGGAUAGCUACAUUAAAAAUACUGUGAAAUCAUGUAAACGGUUUCCUAGCGCUGGAUAGCUACAUAUUAAAAAGUUAUUUGCUAAGCAACCAUAAAAUGAUUUUACAGUUUUUUUAAUGUAGCUAUACUUACCUAAUAUAACCAAACAUCCACAGUGUUUUUAAAGUAUUUUUAAUUACUUCUUGCUAAUUUUAAGAAAAGAAGGCUUGCCAACGUGAGUAUUCGGGUAUGUCCAGAAGGAUGUGUGAAUCGUAGGCUUCCUUCUUAACGCCGCAUCAGUGCACAUCACGAAAAUUAAAAAAUUCCAUAUCUCCUAAAGUAUUUGGAAUUUCUGAUCUCCGCCGGGUUUAAUGAAAAGAGGAAGUUAAAGAGCACAGAAUAAAGGUAUCAGAUAUGGGCUGAUUUUUCGGGAUGCACCACCCUAAGUGCUACACGUGCCUAUUUGUGUGACCUCCAUUUAGACGAGCAUCAGUUUUCAGGAUUGUGACAAGCUGCUGCUGGCUCGAGGAGCAAUACCAACAGUCAAGGCUGUUAAUGGGGGUGUGUUACUUUAAGGGAAGAAUCUGGUGAUCAAACAUCUACAGGCAAGACUGAGACCUCUCUGCUUUCACACAGUGCAAGUUUAAUUAAUACAUUUGUGACAGGCAGUAGCAAGGGGGCCUGCCUUCAUAUUAAAACUUCCCAAGUCAAGGAUUGUAUUUUGUGUUAGUAAGUUAUGUUAAGACUUUUUGUGUCACAUAACAUACUGUAAAUGUUGGCAAACAAAUUUAAUGUAUUUCUCAUUGCAGGAAAUAUUUUACUUCCCCACAAUAAAUCUAGAACCAAUGAGUACCAGUAUAUUUUAGCAAUAUCAUUAGUUUUCCCUAAACAUUAUAAUAAAAUUAUAAUUUCAGAUAGUCCUCCUUGUUUUAUUGUCCGUAGAAGCUUUGCGUUAAUCAUUCUUCACCGUGUUAAUCCCCAGCUUUGUGGAUUAUUCGUGUGAUGUAUUUUUCAGUAAUGCAGGAUGUCAGCUGAUAACCUUUAUGUUUCUAGGUCAUGGUGACCUAGUAUGGUAUUUGUAUUUUUUUUUUUUUUUCACAUGAAUCUAUACCAAUAUUAUAAAGCUGAAGAGUUUGUUUGUUUGUUUGUUUGUUUGAAUGCACUAAUCUCAGGAACCACUGGUCCGAUUUGAAAAAUUCUUUCAGUGUUGGAUAAUAGAUUUAUUGAGGAAGGCUAUAGGCUUUAUUAUAUUAUCAAUAACAUUAGGGAUCCUUACUAAAAGUCCAAUUUAGUAUCAAAUGUGUUGGAAGGGGUUAGAUACAACAUGCAGUACACGUACGAAGUGUGUGUUGACAAUGCCGCAGGCGCUAGAAGUUUAUUAUUGCCUAUUAACAUUGUUGCCACGCACUAGUUGCCUUAUCAUUCUUAAUUUUCCCAAUCAAGUAAAAAACACCAGUGUGAUAUUAACAACGAAGCAGUCAGUACCCUCAUAUUGAAUACAUAGAAAUAGUGUGAGGUAUAUAUGUAGAUAUAAAGAGAUAAAUACAGAUAGAUACAUAGAUAUAUAGGACUAUGGAUGUAGAUGGAGAUAAAUAUAUAUUUAGAGACAUGGAUAGAUUAUGAACGUGAGGGCCGAGCGAGCGGGUGUCGUGACACAAUCACGACAUAAUCACAACACAAUCCGAAACUAUCACGACACUAUCACCACCAGAUUACAACACAGUACGGACUUUAACUCUACCGCCGGUAACGAAGAAUUGUAGGCAUAACGACCCGCAGACAGUACGUAUGCCAGGACUAUUUGCGGACACAAGAGACAGCGAGCAGGAUGAGAACUUGUGCGUUAUUGCGGCUAUGUGCAGAGAGCUUCACUUGCUAGCGGCGGAAGAGUAACAGAAAACAGAACCGCAUAAACAGAGACUAUGUUACAUCAAUGGUUGUGUGUAAAUAAUUGUAACCACUUGUACUAACGAUCGGAAUUUGUCACUAGUAAUAUUAAGAUUAUGAAUGUUCAGUGUGACUUUGUAUGUUGUCUAGCCUUAGUAGUUUAGAUUGACGGUGUAUCGGUCGUUGGCAGUGAUGAGCUCACGGCUCGCCCGAAUUAAGGGUAUUGUUUUGUUUUUUUAAUUGUUUCAAGAAUCCAUCACAGAGAGUUAAUUCAUAUGUCUUGUGUUAUAGUGGUAUCUUGUAUCAGCAGUUCAACUCCACAAGAACCCGACUUAUUUACGUUUUAUUUCAGUUUGAGAAUCAAUGAAAUACUUGUUUGUGUUAUUGAGUUUGUCAAUAAAUUGUUAUUGGAAUGAACUUAGCAACUAAUUUCAGAACCACCUGCAAACGUUCUUUUUCCUCCUUGUUAGGGUUUUCCUAUGUCUUUAGUAAAACCCGUGACAAUAUUUCUAGAACAAUUUUUCAAAUUAAACAUUCUUGUAAACAUAAACAGCAAAGCAUAUUGUCACCUGUUCCUUAUUCUUAGGUUAAUCUGUUUAUAUUUCAUGUUUUGUGGUUUCAUAAUCCUGAUGUCAGAGUAGCGUAGUAAUUUGACCACUAGAUUCAAUCUUGCUUUAAUGAAUGAAUUUUAUUUUUCUGUUUUAGGUAUCAGAUAUGGGCUGAUUUUUUGGGAUGCACCACCCUAAGUGCUACACGUGCCUAUUUGUGUGACCUCCAUUUUGACGAGCAUCAGUUUUCAGGAUUGUGACAAGCUGCUGCUGUCUCGAGGAGCAAUACCAACAGUCAAGGCUGUUAAUGGAGGUGUGUUACUUUAAGGGAAGAAUCUGGUGAUCAAACAUCUACAGGCAAGACUGAGACCUCUCUGCUUUCACACAGUGCAAGUUUAAUUAAUACAUUUGUGACAGGCAGUAGCAAGGGGGCCUGCCUUCAUAUUAAAACUUCCCAAGUCAAGGAUUGUAUUUUGUGUUAGUAAGUUAUGUUAAGACUUUUUGUGUCACAUAACAUACUGUAAAUGUUGGCAAACAAAUUUAAUGUAUUUCUCAUUGCAGGAAAUAUUUUACUUCCCCACAAUAAAUCUAGAACCAAUGAGUACCAGUAUAUUUUAGCAAUAUCAUUAGUUUUCCCUAAACAUUAUAAUAAAAUUAUAAUUUCAGAUAGUCCUCCUUGUUUUAUUGUCCGUAGAAGCUUUGCGUUAAUCAUUCUUCACCGUGUUAAUCCCCAGCUUUGUGGAUUAUUCGUGUGAUGUAUUUUUCAGUAAUGCAGGAUGUCAGCUGAUAACCUUUAUGUUUCUAGGUCAUGGUGACCUAGUAUGGUAUUUGUAUUUUUUUUUUUUU